rnacentral:rRNA from 1 species
UACGUAGGGGGCAAGCGUUGUCCGGAUUUAUUGGGCGUAAAGAGCGUGUAGGCGGCCAUGUAGGUCCGUUGUGAAAACUCGAGGCUCAACCUCGAGACGCCGAUGGAAACCAUAUGGCUAGAGUCCGGAAGAGGAGAGUGGAAUUCCUGGUGUAGCGGUGAAAUGCGCAGAUAUCGGGAGGAACACCUGUGGCGAAAGCGGCUCACUGGACCACAACUGACGCUGAGGCGCGAAAGCUAGGGGAGCAAACAGG